GAUGAAGAACGCAGCGAAAUGCGAUAAGUAAUGUGAAUUGCAGAAUUCAGUGAAUCAUCGAAUCUUUGAACGCACAUUGCGCCCCUUGGUAUUCCGAGGGGCAUGCCUGUUCGAGCGUCAUUAUAACCCCUCAAGCUCAGCUUGGUGUUGGGGCCUGCUGCACUGGCAGCCCUUAAAAUCAGUGGCGGCGCCAUCUGGCUCUAAGCGUAGUAAUUCUUCUCGCUAUGGAGUCCUGGUGGAUGCUUGCCAUCAACCCCCAAUUUUUCUAUGGUUGACCUCGGAUCAGGUAGGGAUACCCGCUGAACUUAAGCAUAUCAAUACGGAGGA
rnacentral:misc_RNA from 1 species